GCCUGGCCCUAAAUCUUGAUGCUCGAUAUUACCUGAGCAUCCGCCCGAGAACUACGAGCACAAACGCUUAAAACUCUAAGGACUUGGCGGUGCUCCAAACCCACCUAGAGGAGCCUGUUCUGUAAUCGAUGAUCCACGAUAUUACCUGACCAUUUCUUGCACGAUACAGCCUACAUACCGCCGUCGCCUGCCCAGCCUUCCUGACAGCCCAACAGUGGACGCAAUAGCCUAACCCGCUAGCAAGACAGGUCAAGGUAUAGCCUAUGGAAUGGAAGCAAUGGGCUACAUUUUCUAGAAUAGAACAUACGGAAAGGGGCAUGAAACGGCCCCUGGAAGGAGGAUUUAGCAGUAAAGAGAGACAAUCGAGCCCUCUUUAAGCCGGCUCUGGAGCACGU
rnacentral:rRNA from 1 species